GUAGGUCAGUGUCCUGGGGACCUGUCCCACUUGGCAAAGUAGAUUAAACCACCACCCCGCCUUUGUCAGAUGGAAGAUCUGCAGGUUUGUUCGCCCCAAAGGUACAGAGUCAUUCUAAACUUUCAGUUUGUAUUAACUCCAAGUUAAAGAUUCUGGGUGGUGACAAUACUCUGUCAAGGAUGGCCUGAUGCCAGUUGAUCUCAUAGGAAUAGUGACUUAAAAAGUAGUUGCUUUCACACACGCCACUGACGUAUAAAAAUUGUGAUGAUAAAAUAGUUUUUGCAGCCUUCUGAUUAAAAGUGUCCAUUUUUACCUCCUUGGUGCUUAAAAUGGACAUGAGUUCUAUGACUUUGUCUUUACUUGGAGAGGAAUGGCUCUGUGUUGCAAGUAAAUCAGUUUUUUUUCCCUCCUUUUCCACACGGUUUUGGUUCAUGAUGCACAAAGGUUUAACAUUUUUAUGUUGCCAUUUUAUUUUGGCUUUUUACUUCUUAAAAAUAACCCUCUAGUACUUCGAUAAUUUUAGCACAAGUGACUUAAAGUUCUGUGCUAAGAAAUGUCCUCGUGGCACUUAAAAACAUUUCACCUAUAACUUUUAAACAUGUGUGUUCUGAUCGAAGUAUCAGGAAUUUUGAAAAUUGAUAUCUAACAACCCACAUGUCUUACCUAAUUGUUGAGCUUAAUCCUAAAUGCCCCUUUAUGCUUUUUCUUCAAUCAGGAAAAAGGCCUGUGUCCUAUCAACACUUGUCUAGCAGCAUGCUACAGAAGCGAAACUAUGAGAAUUUUAUUGGGAACGCACAUUAUCGACCAAAUGACAAAAAAACUUGAUUUCCUGUUUUGGGGACAAAAGGUCUUGAUGGAUGUAAGUGUGUACUCUCCACGGAAUCAAAUCAGUUCAUCCUUUGAAAAAGCAACUGGUGAAAGCUACUGAAAUAAGCUGUGAUUGUACUGUACAUACAACAUACAAGGAACACUACGGUUUUGUAAAGUUGUUCUGUUAACUUUUGUACCAAAUAGCAAUAAAAACUAGUUGGAACAGCUGGGUUGUACACAAAUGGAGACCGGACAUCUCUAUUUUGUCCUGAAUAAUAUUUUUUUUAGAAUUGACCAAAAAAGAAGUUUUUUGCAUACUUGAGCGCUGCUGAAAAGAAAUCCUUUGGGGCGGGGGGUGGGGAGAAAGUAUAUACUGCUUGCACCUCAGGUAAAAAUGUGUAAAUAUAUGUUGUAAACCUGCUUGUUUAAAUACUGUGUGUAUUCUUUUUCUCUAAUGUAGCUCAUCACGCUGAGCAAGUUUCUGCUACUUGUCCUCUUUCAUUUAAAAAUGUACGUUUUUUAAAAAAAUUUCUCAAUGAUUUGUAUUAUGUUAAAUCCUCCUCAGUCUAUUGUCUUAACAAAAAAGUGUAAACGGAAGCAUCGACCAUCUGUGAACACGUGCUGCGCAUACUGAGGUCAGCUCUUCUGAAUUGGGUGCCCUUUUCCUGCACAUUUCAGUCUGUCUGUCACCUGAGAGAGGCCCAGACCCACAAUCCUUUCCUGAGGGGACCGGUGGUGGUUCGUGGGGAGUUUUACAGUGUGUGCGUCUGCGGAGAAACUUCCCUCCGCCAGGCCGGCCACACGUGCGGUAAACGUACCAGAGUGCAUACGGAGUUACUGAAAUUUGUUUUCUAUCCAAUUAAUCAUUUUUGUUGGACAACUUGUGGGCCGUUUGUUUGGCCUUUGCCUAAAUUAGCAUGUCGAAAUAGAAAUGCUCAAUUCUACCUGUGACUGACUGAUAUUGGAAGCAAUUUCAAAAGCAAUGAAAGUUCUGGGGAAACGGUAGGUCUGUACUUGGACGUCUUGGUGUGUCUGGCGAUUGGGUUAACUGGGCGUGUUCAGGCUCGUUGCAGAGACACGGUUCUGCAGGCGCCAGGCCCGCUGGCCGAGCGCUCCGCUCGGGCCCUCUCUCGGGCUGCCUGAGCCUGCUGGGCCUCGGGGAGGAGGUGCCCUCUUUUGAGAGCUCGGCCGCCUGCCCAUUCCUGUGGUUUCCCGCGGCGUACCUGCAGUUGGAGUUCCGUGGAGAGGCUGGCCACCAGCUGGCUCGCUGGCUGUUGUAAACUUCUCUUCCCGCCAUCCACUGUCCGUGGCUGGGUAUAGGGCAGUACCUGGGGUUCGCGACCACAAAAUACUUCAUUAAGAAACCUGCUUCAGACAUAAAUUUGCACUGUUCGUUUUUCUUGCCCUGCCCUUCUCCAUUAGAGCGAGGGUGAUGUCCUAAAAGAAUCUUGAUUUUUGUGUUUAUUUUCAUUAUGCGACACGACUCCUACUUGACAGAGACGUCUUAACCCCCUCGUGAGAAGGGAGGCCUGACUUGAGACCGUCUGCUGGCACCUGCAACAAAGUGCUUUGUACCGGGAAGGCGUACACUAUCGACCUGUUCUCCUGUUCACAAGCUGAGCCAUAUGUACAUAAUCUAGAUUUUUGUUUUCAUAGUUUUGCACUUUUAUAGCCUAUUUUUGAAGAUUAACACAUUUUCAAGAUGAUUGACCCUGUCCUUACCUAAUCCAAUGAGUGUUACAGAGAGCUUGCUGUGACGAGAAGUAUAAAUCUUAAAAGGGGAUACAUGAUAAUAGAGGGCUGAAAUUUAAAUCUGUAUUUAAAAAAAAAAA
rnacentral:lncRNA from 1 species